CGGGCCGGCGGGACCCAGGACGCUGCAGGCCUCCAGACGCAACGCGAGGGGCCCCCCCCCGGGAGCACCUCCUUCAGCGCCGGGGUUUCAGAGCUUGGGCCAAUAUUCCAGCGUCCUAAAUGUGUCAGGGAAACUGCCAGAAGCGGCGGAGCCGACAGCACGGUGCCGACGAGGACCACAGGCAGCUGAAGAAAUGGAAGUUCUGAGAAACUAAGGGGCUUCCCUGAUGCUUGCAGAUGAGGCAAGGACGGAUGGAGAAUCGGGCUUUGGAUGCCACAGUGAUACCCCACGUGCACCUCUCCUGGGUGACAGUGGACUUCGGUAACGCCCAGCACUGCCCAGACGGAGCACCGCUGACCACGGAGACACCAACACAUGAUCAUCGAAACUUGGUUCUACCGUGGCUCGCUCUGCCCGCGUUCUGGAGAGAGGCUGUCUUGCGGGACUCAGAGAUGACAGAGGGACAUUGAGGCCAAGUUCUGAGAGUGGCCCGUUCCAAGGAAUGGGACGUGGAACUAUCGUCCACCCAGCCCUGAAACUCUGGCCAUAGAAAGUGCUUAUGAUCCGUGCAGCUGGCAGCGGUGGCCUGGGGGCUCGUGACCAUGUCCGUAUGCAGGCUCAAGGAAGGAAGGGCACCGAAGAGCCAGGGUGGUCAUCUGUGACUUGAACAAGGAAAGGAAAGUGAGCCGAAUCCCUGUGGCCUCCUCCAGAGAAGGUCUGACAAACAAGCAGGGACUAACCGUGAAAGAGCUCAGGGGGCUUCCCCGCGUCCACCGCCAGAAACCUCGAUCUCGGAUCUCCUCUUCCUCCCAUCCUCACGACAUGAUCCUGCCCAGAUCGCACACUGAAAACUCCCACCCCCUCCUCUCCCCCAGACAAGUGCUGUGGUUUCAGACACAGCUCCCCCCUCCCUUUUGGAGAAGUCAUUCCUUCUAAACUGUCGUCUGCCCGGAACUUUCUUCUCUGACCUCCUGGUUUGGAGAGCAAAACCCAGUUGUGUAGGAGUGUAUGGUCUCUGCCAUUGGAUCUUCACCUUUACUUGGUUUUUGCUUCUUGUGUUCUUUCUUUUGCUCUUAAUGCACGAAUCCUGCAGAGCAUUGAAUACAAAAUAGACACCCAGUA